GGGUAACAUAUAGAUAGGGCUAGAUCUUCUGUUGACCCAGCUUCUGCAAAUAUUAUGAGGGUCUACCACUACACACAUGAAGCCGCCUGUGUGGUCAAGCCUUGCUGGGGGUAGCAACCUGGGUAUCGCCUGCAGCUGCAAGCCCAUCCUGCUUUGCGGCGGGCUCUGGUGAAGUCCAGCGGCACCUUAGACUCCGCUCCCUGGCACAGUCUGAGUCAUCUGCCACACUGGUCCAGCAGAUCCACACACACCGGAGUUCCUGUCUUCAGAAACGGAUUACAAAGUUUAUGUUUCCCGUGGAUGGUACUGAGCACAGAAUCGACAGGAUUAACUUGCGGUUUUAUGG